ACUGAAGGUUGGCUUUGUUAAAAUAAACAAGCAGACAUAUAUAAAUAAAUAACAAGGGUUGGCAGGGUUGCAUUGAUUUUUAACAGGACAAUGUUACAUGAACGUGAAUAAAUAAAGAAAUUUGAAAACAGUUAUCAUCGUUAUUUUUUGUAAUGAAUUGGAUUGUGACUUUUACUGUCAUGUAAAGAGAAAGAGAGAAAGAAGCUACGCUGACCUAAAUCAACACAGAGAGCAAAUUGUAAUUAACUGUAAAUUAAUUAAAUUAUCUCAGCAGAAUCCUGCUGCGUGAUCAUGGAAAUAAAUAAAAAGGACAGAAUUUUUCAGCUCCUGUCUUCUCUGUUUUAAGUUGUUGAAUUUAAAUCCUUUAAAGUUAAAUUGCCUCUGCAAUUAAACCUUUAAUAGAUCCCACAUUUCUUUGUCAACAUGGUUGAUUGUGCAUGCUGGCUGACUGAUCUGCCCUCUGCCAGUCUUCAGUGAAGCUUUGAAUUACAGCUUUUCUGUUACAGCUGUGAUAAUCAUGUGUGUGUUUCAUCAAAUAAUUACCACAUAUAGCAAUACAGUUCUGAUGUUUUAUGAAAUAUUUCACUAUUUAUGAUUUUUAAUCUAACUUACAGGGGAAAACAAACAACUCAUCAAAUUGUUAGGUGUUUUGUUUCCAACAUGUGAGUCUAAUCAUUCUCUCACAUCUCCUUAUUUAAUAAAGGGUGAAACCAGGUUUGUGUGUGGUGGGUCUGGUUGUAGUGCUGAGUGGACUUUUGCAGAGGUUUGUAAAAUGGCUCUGCUGGACCCUCAAGAAAAGCAGUAUUUCAGAAAAACCAUGGAAUUUAACAUUGCCAGGCAGACACUUACUACUAAGUUGUGUCCUGGCUGCAGAUCCACUGUGAUGAGAGCGAAUGAAUCAGAUUUGAAUGUCCUCUGUAAAGUGUGCACAGCAGUAAAAGGACGGCCGUUUGAAUUCUGCUGGCAGUGUUUGAGGGAAUGGAAGGGUCCACGGCCUCGGAAAGACCGCUGUGGAAAUGAUGACUGCUGUAAUGAGUCACUAGAAACACUAAAAAAAUGCCCAGAUAUGACAUUGUGUGAUUCUGAAGUCCGUGUGUGUCCCUCGGUCCGUGCCUGUCCCACCUGUGGUUUGAUGUUGGAGCACAGCACGAUCGCUUGCCCAUCAGUUGAUUGCCCUCGAUGUAAUUUGACAUUUUGUUUUGUAUGUCUGAAGCACUCUAGUACAUGUUGGAGGAUCAGGUGCACUCCUGCCCCCAGACAGACCUCUAUACCUGUUUGGAAGAAGAAAUAAUUGGAAAUACACAAGGCUGAUAUGUUUCACUUUCUUUAUAUUGAGAGCAUCUUUUCUAAAUGUAAAUGUCACUAUGCUGUGUUUUAAAUUCUCUGCUUUAAUAACAUCACUUGAUGAAUAAAAAUUGUGUUUUAUUAGUGAGAAUUUUAAUAUCAAAUGUGUUCUUUACAGCUCUCAUGUCUAAAGUCCAAUGAUAAAUCUGCAUAAAUCUAAUGUUAUUAAUUAAAAAAACUUUAGAAUAAGGUUAAACAUUCUGUGUGUGCGUCUAAUCAUUCUCUCACCUCUCCUUAUUUAACAAAGGGUGAAAGCAGGUUUGUGUGUGGUGGGUCUGGUUGUGGUGCUGAGUGGACUUUUGCAGAGGUUUGUAAAAUGGUUCUUCUGGACCCUCAACAAAGGGAGUACUUUCAAAAAACAAUGGAAUUCAACGUUGCCAGGCAGACAAUUGCUACUAAGUUGUGUCCUGGAUGUGGAUCUUCUGUGCCGAGAGAGAAUGGAUCAGAUUUGAAUGUCCUCUGUAAAGUGUGCACAGCAGUAAAAGGACGGCCGUUUGAAUUCUGCUGGCAGUGUUUGAGGGAGUGGAAGGGUGCGCGGCCUCGGAAAGACUGCUGUGAAAAUGAUGGCUGCUGCAACCCAUCACUAGACACAUUAGAAAAAUGCCCAGAUAUGACAUUAAAUUCAUAUCAUGGUGUCUGUGUGUGUCCCUCGGUCCGUGCCUGUCCCACUUGUGGGUUAUUGUUGGAGCACAGCAAGAGACUUUGUCAAUUUGUUGUUUGCCCUCGAUGCAAUUUGAGCUUUUGCUUUGUGUGUCUGAAGGAGCCUGUUGAAUGUACAAAAACCGGGUGCAUUCUUGCCCCCAGACAGACCUCUAUACCUGUUUGGCACAAGAAAUAAUGGGAAAGAAACUUAAACACUGUGUGUAAGCACAUGCUGUCCUCUGGUUAGUUACAUAUAUAACCUGUGUGAUCUACUUAACACACAUUUUUGUUUGUAUUCCUAAGUACUUCCUAAGUACGUGAGGACUGCUCUUGUUUCCUCUAAACUGUUCUGAGCAAAUUUCUCUUUUAAUAAAACCUUGCUAUUUUUAAUAAAAGUUAAUAUAGAAAUGUAAAUAAAAAAGCAUCUCUGGG